GCGCACGCCCGACACAGAGCUUUACUAUCUGGCUCCCCUCUCGCCUCCCUCCUCGCCCGGCAUUCACACGGCUCUCCGACAUCACCAGCAUCCCCAGCCUCCCGAGGCGGCCGCGGGCGCCCGCGGAGUGAACCCGCCGCCCCGGCGCAUCGGCCGCGCCGCCGCCUCUGCUCGGCGCGCUUCCUUGGCUUCCUGGCCGAUUGCUUUGCUGGGGGGGCAGGUCUGGAAAAACAGCUCCAGUGGCUGUGAAGCCACUUCCUUUUUUUUUUUUUUUAAUUCCUUAGCGUCUGUCUUCGGGGGCUCUCCCCGCUCCCGCCGGCGCCUCGGUGGGAGGUUGGAUUCACUUGGCUACGGCGUAGGCUCCGGGUUCCUGGGGGGCUUUUAUUCCCCCAGCCCUCCCCUCUUUGAUUCUCUCUCCCUCCACCCCCGAUCCCCGCGUUCUUUUACUUCUCUUAUGUGCGCGUUAAAAAAAAAAAAAUCCAUCCUGAUUUUUUAAGCUUAGCCGGGGAAAGAUGGGCUCCGGGGCUCGGGACCGAAGGGGCGUCUCUCCGUCACUGUUGCUGGGACGCGUGCCUGCGCUGCUGCCUUAGGCGCCCCGAGUGUUCCGAGAGGAAGAACAGUGGAAGAGACUGCAGCCUAAAGACUUUUAAAAUUAACUUGGCAUCACUUUUCUCAGCUCAAAGGCUAAGCAAAAAAGCAGUGUCAUUUAUUCUAAGAAAUAACUUCUUAAAGGUUAAAGCUGAAAAAUAUUCAAGUUACUUUUGGAUAACAACUUACAGAGGUAAAUAUAACCAAGAAUUACCGUAUUAUGUAAGACCAGGUUAAAAAAAUAGAGGGGGAAAGGAAAAGAGCUUUGGAGCUGUUAUUGGAGAGGUAGCAACAAUUCAGUAAUUGAAAUCUGCUAGAAGAGACAAUGCUAAUUGUAAAUGUUAAAUUACAGUAGAUAACUCUAGGUAAAAUAGCCCUAAUUAAAAAAAAAAAAAAAGACUGAAACCAGUUCAGUUCCUGUGGUUCUGGGAUUAUUCACUAGUAACGCCUUUGGAAACAGAUACUAAUACAAUGGUCUACUUUAUGUAUCCCAGGAGGCAUGUCACAUUGAAAUGACUGCCUUAAAUCGUGG
rnacentral:lncRNA from 1 species